rnacentral:misc_RNA from 1 species
AACUCUUAGCAAUGGAUAUCUUGGUUCUCGUAACGAUGAAGAACGCAGCGAAAUGCGAUACGUAAUGCGAAUUGCAGAAUUCAGUGAAUCAUCAAAUCUUUGAACGCAAAUGGCGCUUCUGGGAUAGGCCUAGGAGCAUGCCUCUCUGAGUAUCGGUUCUAUCUAUCAACGACAGCGUGCUGUGAAAGGCAACGACUGGGCGGUUGGAAAAUGAGCGUCUGAUUGCGCAAGCAAAUCAGUCACUUUAAACAGAUAGAAGCUUGAAUCGCACUAGAGGAAUGUUUCUGCUUGUUGUCAAAGACAAGUGGGAGACGAGUUGUUAUGGCUCCAUUCUAUAUGCUAGUGACGUGGAUAGAAGUACCCUCUGCGGUCUUUCAAAACGUCUGCUGGUUGAAUGUUGGCUGUUUCCGCUUCGUGUAAGCUCUGGUUAAGUGGUUCAUUACAGUUUCUGACUCGAAUUCCCCUUGUCUCCGGGCUUGGGUUGUUUGAAUUAGAUCUCAGAUGAAGCAAGAGGACCCCCUGAAUUUAAGCAUAUUAUUAAGGGGAGGAAAAGAAACUAACAAGGAUUCCCCUAGUAACGGCGAGUGAAGCGGGAUGAAGCUCAAUCUGGGAAUCGAGAGUGGAAGCCCACGCCUCGAGUUGUAUCCUAGAGACGUAUUGUCAGCGUGUGACCUCGGUACAAAUCUUUUGAAACAAGGUAUCAUAGAGGGUGAGAAUCCCGUCCAUGACCGAGAGUUCGCCGCGUACGACGUAUGUUUUCCGAGUCGAGUUGUUUGGGAUUGCAGCUCUAAACGGGUGGUAAAUUUCAUCUAAAGCUAAAUAUCGACGAGAGACCGAUAGCGAACAAGUACCGUGAGGGAAAGAUGAAAAGAACUUUGAAAAGAGAGUUAAAAAGUACUUGAAAUUGUUAAGAGGGAAGCGCUAGCAAGCAGUCAUGACACCAGGCUAUGCUUAGUAGUGGACACCGAAAUCAACUGCGGACCAGAUCGAAAGACUGUGUCGGGAAGAGGACGAGUGGCUGCUGCGUCAUGUAGUCUGGUGUGGGUCAGAGUCAAUUCGGCUCGCGGGUGAGGGCCAGCGGAAAGGUAGGGUCUCCGGACCUGUUAUAGUCCGUUGGUUGUACCGUGGUCUGGAUUGAGGAUUGAUAAUGGACGCCGCAAGGUUUCGGCGCUGCUUUCCUGUUGGGUCGGUUGGCUUAGAGGACAACGUCCUGUGGGCUGGCUUGGCUUGGCACUGGGGGUAGCUGCCAGAUGUCCAUUCGCGAUUCUGACGAAAUGCUUGCUAUCGACCCGUCUUGAAACACGGACCAAGGAGUCUAACAUAUAUGCGAGUAUUUGGGUGCAAAACUCUGAUGCGCAAUGAAAGUAAAGGCAGUUUCGGCUGCUGAGGUAGGAAGGGGUCACUCCCGGCACUAUCGACCGAUCGUCACUUGUGAUUGAUUUGAGUGCGAGCAUAUCUGUUGGGACCCGAAAGAUGGUGAUCUAUGCCUGAACAGGGUGAAGCCAGGGGAAACUCUGGUGGAGGCUCGUAGCGAUACUGACGUGCAAAUCGUUCGUCUGAUUUGGGUAUAGGGGCGAAAGACUAAUCGAACCAUCUAGUAGCUGGUUCCCUC